ACGGGUGAGUAACACGUGGGAACAUACCCUUCGGUUCGGAACAACGUUUGGAAACGGACGCUAAUACCGGAUACGCCCUAUUGGGGAAAGGCUUGCUGCCGAAGGAUUGGCCCGCGUUCGAUUAGCUAGAUGGCGGGGUAAUGGCCCACCAUGGCGACGAUCGAUAGCUGGUCUGAGAGGAUGGCCAGCCACAUUGGGACUGAGACACGGCCCAAACUCCUACGGGAGGCAGCAGUGGGGAAUAUUGGACAAUGGGCGCAAGCCUGAUCCAGCCAUGCCGCGUGAGUGAUGACGGCCUUAGGGUUGUAAAGCUCUUUCGCACGCGACGAUAAUGACGGUAGCGUGAGAAGAAGCCCCGGCUAACUUCGUGCCAGCAGCCGCGGUAAUACGAAGGGGGCUAGCGUUGUUCGGAAUCACUGGGCGUAAAGGGUGCGUAGGCUGGUUCUUAAGUCAGGGGUGAAAUCCCGAGGCUCAACCUCGGAACUGCCUUUGAUACUGGGGAUCUUGAGUCCGGAAGAGGUGAGUGGAACUGCGAGUGUAGAGGUGAAAUUCGUAGA
rnacentral:rRNA from 1 species